AGUGAGGAACCGGUCCCUCACUGCGUGACCAAAAUCACAACGUUCGGGAACCGGUCUCUCAAGCUUGAGACCGGUCCCUUGCUGCGCGACAGAAAUAUCAAGGUUCGGGAACCGGUUUCUCACCACAGGGGACCGGUUGCAUCAAAGUUCACGCAGUGAGGACCUUAGGGGAACCGGUCUCUUGACCUCAGAGACCGGUCCCUGAACACAGAAAAGUUCAGUAAAGUAUUUUUAAAGCAAUCUAAGCCUUCUGAACUUAUUCUAAUCAAAUAACUUCAUCACAAAUGAUCUUUUCUUCAUACCUUAGGUGCCGAACUUUACGAGUGAGUCUUUUUCCUUCAAUUUAGAUCUUUUCUUCAAUCUUCUGCAAUCAACUCUUCAAGACUCCAUUCAACAUUACGAAAUCCGCCAACCUAUAAAAUCCUUAAC
rnacentral:lncRNA from 1 species